ensembl:lncRNA
AUGAUUUCCUGUAUGACAAUUUGGGCACCAACUCCACUGCAAACCUGCACACAAGGAGAGGAUGCUGGUGUGAUAUUCGGCACGAGCUGCCCUUUCUGCUCUCCAUUGUCGCCUGCUCAUGGGCANCUUGCGUACAGGUUUGCAGUGGAGUUGGUGCCCAAAUUGUCAUACAGGAAAUCAUCCAAGGCCUCAGGAAAACUCCCCGGGGAGGAGAAGAAGAAGAAAGUGGGGGUCUUGCCACCUCUCAGCCAGGGCAAGAAAGCCUCAGUGGGAUUGCUUGACAUGCCUUUCACCGUGCGCUCAAGUAUCCCAAAAUGCGAGCUCCAGAAGCUGAAGGAAAUAAAAGCACAGGAGAACAAGGAGAAGGCUGGGAUCAGCCAGCUGCCAGCAAUCCCGGGGCUGCCUCCUGCCAAAAACCAGCCUUUGGUCAGCCAAGACCAGGGCAAACUCACAGCCAGAAACGGAACACCAGGGUUGGACAAAGCGGGGCCAUCGACAUCUCAGGGGGUCACAGGAGAAGAACGAGGAGUGGACACAGUCCUCCGUGCUGGUGGACUGCCAAAAAUUGCAACAAAGACAACCUCCAAGAAGCUGUCUCUCCCUUUGAGACCUCCAACUGUGAAGAAACUCCCUAGAAUCGUUGUAUCAUCACCAACGAGUUCUGAGGAGAGCCUGCCCCGGAGGCCGCGCUAUAACACCUCCCUGCUGCUGCCCACCCUGGACGGUACAUCCAAGACGCUGGAACCCGAACCGUCCAGAGCAAGGCGCCCAGGAGAGGAGAGACCCCCCACACAGGCUGAGAUCUUGGAACUGUGGAAGCAGUAUCUCAAGAAGUAAAAGCCAAAAAGGAUUGGGGUGUGUGUCCAAGUUUAUUUCCAGCAGUACACAGCACAGACACGUCACAAAUGGACACGAAGGGAGAGGAGAAAACCUCAUUGCUGGUUUUGGUACCAGUUUCCUGGUCUGAGCAGAGAUCAAAGGCUGUUGGAGCCGAGAUGAGAAAGAUUCAGGGCACAGCUGCAGGUAUCUGCUGCGCAGCUGAAGCACGCUCGGGCAGGAUGGAGCUCUGGGGCAUCCAGCAGGAGCUGGUUCCCAACCCACGGCACUCGGAUCACUCUCCAGGUGCCCAUGUCCAGGCUGUUAUGCCAGGAAGCAGAGAGAGAGAGGCCAGAGGCCGUGGGACAUGCUGCCCUCUCUCCACCGGGAGAGGGAAGUUUGCUGGGGAGAGGUGCAGAUGCUGGCAGCUGGGCGAUCCCUGCAGCUCUCACCAGGGCUCUCGUGUUCAGUUUGGAGGCUGCUGGUGGUUGAGGUCCGGAGGUCGCUUGCUUUUUUCACAUUAGCAAAAAAAAGGCACCAAACCAAACCAACAACCAUAGUGCUGGCAAGUUUGCUCUAUUUAUUUUGCUCCCAGAUUGCUUUAAUUUUUACUUUCAUUUUCCCCAAAGAACUAUUUUAAUCGGGACAUGACAAGGCAGUGCUUAUAAACAAGGAUUUGCAUCCGGCUGACUUGGGGCAGGCGGCUGCAGAUGCUGAAGGGGCAGGAAUGGGACUUGUGCCGUGCAGUUUGUUAGUUAUUUCACCCUGGGAGGGAUAAUUAAUUAGGGUUAAUCUUCGUCACAGCGGCCCUUGUGGUGCCAUUCCGGAUUUGUGCCCGUAGCAGUGCUGAUGGCACACUGCUGCUUUGGCUGCUCUGAGCAUCGGUCUCAUGGCACUCACCUAAAGCACCAUUUUUAAUGCCCCAAGCCCCUUUUGAGGGCCUAAAGCCUUCGGUUUGGAUCCCAAAGCCACAUUUGAUUGUCCACAACCCCAUGGUA